rnacentral:misc_RNA from 1 species
GCCUUCUCCAAAUCAAUACUAUGCAUGAAAAAAAUAAGACAAGUGUAAGCAUUAUUUCAAAGAAUAUAACAAUCUUAGGGAAAGAAAAAAUUAUGGAAGUUGUAUUCAUAGUUAUUUUAAUUUGGGGUGUUGAUAAACCAUGAUUUCAGAAACUAACUUGCCUGUCUCACUAAUCCUGAUUUAAGAAACUAACCUGUCUGUCUCACUAAUCCUGAAAAACCAUGGUUCUUGAAAAAACAAAAUAAAAUAGAUUAUCACCAAG